CCUAAGGGUGGCAGCAGUGAGGAAUAUUGGUCAAUGGCCGGAAGGCUGAACCAGCCAUGCCGCGUGAAGGUCAGUGCCCUAUGGGCGUUAAACUUCUUUUGUGCGGGAGCAAUAAUGGUCACGUGUGGCCAGACGAGAGUACCGUACGAAUAAGCAUCGGCUAACUCCGUGCCAGCAGCCGCGGUAAUACGGGGGAUGCAAGCGUUAUCCGGAUUUAUUGGGUUUAAAGGGUGCGUAGGCUGGGAGGUAAGUCAGCGGUGAAAUGCCCCCGCUCAACGGGGUGAAGUGCCAUUGAUACUGACUUGCUGGAAUGCGGAUGCGGUGGGAGGAAUGUGUGGUGUAGCGGUGAAAUGCAUAGAUAUCACACAGAACACCGAUUGCGAAGGCAUCUCACGAAUCCGCGAUUGACGCUGAUGCACGAAAGCGUGGGUAUCAAACAGGAUUAGAUACCCCUGUAGUC
rnacentral:rRNA from 1 species